rnacentral:rRNA from 1 species
UACGAAGGGAGCUAGCGUUGUUCAGAAUCACUGGGCGUAAAGCGCACGUAGGCGGAUUUGUCAGUCAGGGGUGAAAUCCCGGGGCUCAACCUCGGAACUGCCUUUGAUACAGCAAGUCUUGAGUUCGAGAGAGGUGGGUGGAAUUCCUAGUGUAGAGGUGAAAUUCGUAGAUAUUAGGAAGAACACCGGUGGCGAAGGCGGCCCACUGGCUCGAUACUGACGCUGAGGUGCGAAAGCGUGGGGAGCAAACAGG